UACUUUAUUGUUUUCUUGUUUCGUGCGUCUUUUUCCUCCUUCCAUCGAAACGUGACCUAUGCUGCACAAUUGGUACCAGAGCCUAACCAAUCUUUGAGCGGAGUUCUUCCCUACAGUCAAGAUGACAGGUGGUGCUGGUGGCCUCUAGCGAAACCAACCUGCAAACCAGACGAUGGCGGCUUUUGAAGAAAUCACACAACGGGAGUAGGAUCUGAUGAUAGAGUGAGAAGACUUGAGGAGACAGAUGACAGAACUGAUGCGCGUCUUGCGUAGUUAGGAAAUCGGAA
rnacentral:lncRNA from 1 species